AUUGAACGCUGGCGGCAGGCUUAACACAUGCAAGUCGAGCGGGGGAAGGUAGCUUGCUACCGGACCUAGCGGCGGACGGGUGAGUAAUGCUUAGGAAUCUGCCUAUUAGUGGGGGACAACAUCUCGAAAGGGAUGCUAAUACCGCAUACGUCCUACGGGAGAAAGCAGGGGAUCUUCGGACCUUGCGCUAAUAGAUGAGCCUAAGUCGGAUUAGCUAGUUGGUGGGGUAAAGGCCUACCAAGGCGACGAUCUGUAGCGGGUCUGAGAGGAUGAUCCGCCACACUGGGACUGAGACACGGCCCAGACUCCUACGGGAGGCAGCAGUGGGGAAUAUUGGACAAUAGGGGGAACCCUGACCCAGCCAUGCCGCGUGUGUGAAGAAGGCCUUAUGGUUGUAAAGCACUUUAAGCGAGGAGGAGGCUACUCUAGUUAAUACCUAGGGAUAGUGGACGUUACUCGCAGAAUAAGCACCGGCUAACUCUGUGCCAGCCGCCGCCGCAG
rnacentral:rRNA from 1 species